rnacentral:rRNA from 1 species
AUUGAACGCUGGCUGCAGGCCUAACACAUGCAAGUCGAGCGGAUGAAGGGAGCUUGCUCCUGGAUUCAGCGGCGGACGGGUGAGUAAUGCCUAGGAAUCUGCCUGGUAGUGGGGGAUAACGUCCGGAAACGGGCGCUAAUACCGCAUACGUCCUGAGGGAGAAAGUGGGGGAUCUUCGGACCUCACGCUAUCAGAUGAGCCUAGGUCGGAUUAGCUAGUUGGUGGGGUAAAGGCCUACCAAGGCGACGAUCCGUAACUGGUCUGAGAGGAUGAUCAGUCACACUGGAACUGAGACACGGUCCAGACUCCUACGGGAGGCAGCAGUGGGGAAUAUUGGACAAUGGGCGAAAGCCUGAUCCAGCCAUGCCGCGUGUGUGAAGAAGGUCUUCGGAUUGUAAAGCACUUUAAGUUGGGAGGAAGGGCAGUAAGUUAAUACCUUGCUGUUUUGACGUUACCAACAGAAUAAGCACCGGCUAACUUCGUG